AACGAACGCUGGCGGCAGGCUUAACACAUGCAAGUCGAGCGCCCCGCAAGGGGCGCGGCAGACGGGUAAGUCACGCGUGGGAAUCUACCGUACCCUACGGAAUAGCUCCGGGAAACUGGAAUUAAUACCGUAUACGCCCUACGGGGGAAAGAUUUAUCGGGGUAUGAUGAGCCCGCGUUGGAUUAGCUAGUUGAUGGGGUAAAGGCCUACCAAGGCGACGAUCCAUAGCUGGUCUGAGAGGAUGAUCAGCCACAUUGGGACUGAGACACGGCCCAAACUCCGACGGGAGGCAGCAGUGGGGAAUAUUGGACAAUGGGCGCAAGCCUGAUCCAGCCAUGCCGCGUGAGUGAUGAAGGUCUUAGGAUUGUAAAGCUCUUUCACCGAUGAAGAUAAUGACGGUAGUCGGAGAAGAAGCCCCGGCUAACUUCGUGCCAGCCGCCGCCGUAAGAC
rnacentral:rRNA from 1 species